UGUCAAAAAGUCAACAAACAUGGAGUGACAUCAAAUUUCAGCAUUUGUAGGAUUUAUUAUUUUGUUUUUGGCAAGUACGACAAACAAAAACUCUUCAACAACGAGCUCAGCAUGAGUGGAAGACAAGGCGGAACUGUGGAGAGUGUUUUUUUUUUCCACACCAGGUGACUGAGACGUCUCGGUAUGGGGCCGGCGUUCGCCGAGAAGGAACACAUCCAACUUCUCAGCCGGGAUGUCCACCUUCAGACAUCGAUCGAGCGCUAAUUAAAACAUUUGGAUUCUGCCGGCCUGCUCUGGAGGAGUGUGUGUCUGAGUAUGUGUGUGGGAGACAUGAGAGUGAAGAGGAGUCGAGGAAGGAAGUGUUGCAACUCCAAAAGCUGCCCAUCCUUCUGAGAACUAGAAACCUGUUGUGCGUGGUGCCAACCACUUCACGAUAAGCUGAAGUGGUGUUUUGAUGUGGAGAUAGACGAGGCUUGGACCGGGGCCAGAGUGCGGCGCAGUGAUUAACCAAAGCAGCCUGGGGUGGGAAAGUGGAAGCAGGAGAAGUUGUUUUUUUUUUUACAUCAAAGAUCUUUGGUGUCACGGCCUCUUUAUUCUUCUAAUAUUGUGUUUGCAGGCAAGACACUACUUUGCUUUAUUAUUACGCCGCAUUAUUAUCACACAUUAUUAUCAUCUGUUGCUUCAAGGCAAGCAAUGUUGUGGGAUUAUGUUCAUACAGUAUGUCUGCCUGUCAGUAAAAUGUAUCACAAUCCAAAAAAACAUAUUUUAAUGACACUUUCAAAAAAGUAGUAAUCAGGUGCAAA